GUUAUCCACCUGCCUCAGCCUCCCAAAGUGCUGAGAUAACUGGCAUGAGCCACCAUGCCCGGCCCAGAUUUCCCCUUUUUCUAAGGACAUUGGUCAUAUUGGAUUGGGGGUCCAUUCUACCCCAUGAUGGUGUCACUCUAAGGUAACUAAUUAUACCUGCAAACCACCCAAUUUCUAAAUCAGCUCACAUUCUGAGUUAUUGGGAGCUGGUAUAUCCCCAUACUAAUUUGGGGGAGAGACAAUUCAAUCUAACACCCUCCAUCCAUGGAAGAAUAGGUAGAGGAUAUUUUGCCUGCUUUUAAAAAAAAAAAAAAAAAAAAACACAUAAUAUGGCAGACAUUUAUUUUUAUUCAGUUUCUUCUCAAGAUGAAGAGAACUCUUUGUAAAUGCCCUAAAGUCAUGUCUUCCUCCUCUUCUCCAAGACCCUACCGUCUUGUCCUUCACCUGCAGUCACCCUGAUAACCUGGGAACUGCUCAGGCAGGACCCUGUGCUCUGACUUGCCCGGACGCAGCCACAUCCCGACCAGCAUGCCCCCCCUUCCUUUCCUCCUCUGUCCUUUUCUUUUCACGUGUCCGGCUUCUGCCCGCCCUUUAGCACCCAGCUCCACGACCAUCUUUUGCUGGGGAAACAUCUCUCAUCCCACCCCAUGCCUGCCUGGUGUCCAUCAUUCAACUCUCCUUGUGUCCCCCGCACUCUGGCUCCCCCUACACUGCACCCCCAACCCUGUUCCAUAAUGACCUUUCCCUUACAAGAGCAUGGGCUCUUUGGGGGCAAAGUCUUGCUGAGCUCCACAGCCCCAGUGUAGGAUCUGCCAUGUAAUAAGUCCACGGUGGCGGGACAGACAGGGAGCUCCUGUAGAAGGAUGCUUUGAGGGUGCCCUGAGCCACAAAGGCUCAGCAAAGGAGGGAGGAGAGGCACACGGAGAAUUAGGGAGGGACUGUGAAGGCCUUAAAGAUGCUCUUGUUUCACUUUGCUUAAGACAGUUAAAAUGUAUGCAUGAGGAUGAGUUAUCAUAACCAAGAACUUAAAGCAGGGUUCCAAGUGGCUCUGAGGGCACAACAGAAUUCAGGUAUUUGGAAAACAGCAUCAAGAUCCAGAGGGGAACAUAGUCAAAGAUCAUUUUAAGUCUAAGUCUGUGUUCACAUUUCCCCCUUUUUAUAAGGACGCUGGUAAUAUUGGAUUGGGGCCACCCUACCCCUUGAUGAUCUCAUUCUAACUUAACUAAUUAUACCUGCAAACCACUCAGUUUCCAAAUAUGCUCACAUUCUGAGUUAUUCGGAGUUGGGACAUCCACAUAUAAAUUUGGGGGAGAAACAAUUCAUUUUAUGACACCCUCCAUCCAGGAAUGAUUAGCAGAGGAUAUUUUACCUACUUAAAAAAAAAAAAAAAAC